UACGGAGGGUGCAAGCGUUGUUCGGAAUCACUGGGCGUAAAGCGCGUGUAGGCGGUUCCUUAAGUCUUGUGUGAAAGCCCGGGGCUUACCCCCGGAAGUGCACGGGAAACUGGGGAACUUGAGUACCGGAGAGGAGGGUGGAAUUCCUGGUGUAGCGGUGAAAUGCGUAGAUAUCAGGAGGAACACCGGUGGCGAAGGCGGCCCUCUGGAAGGAUACUGACGCUGAGACGCGAAAGCGUGGGGAGCAAACAGG
rnacentral:rRNA from 1 species